GGGCUUCGGCCCUGAGUAGAGCGGCAAACGGGUGAGUAACACGUGGGUGACCUGCCUUCGAGUGGGGGAUAACGUCCCGAAAGGGACGCUAAUACCGCAUGACAUCCUGCCUUUGGAAAGGCGGAGAUCAAAGCCGGGGAUCGCAAGACCUGGCGCUUGAAGAGGGGCCCGCGCCUGAUUAGCUAGUUGGUGGGGUAAUGGCUCACCAAGGCCACGAUCAGUAGCCGGCCUGAGAGGGCGGACGGCCACACUGGGACUGAGACACGGCCCAGACUCCUACGGGAGGUAGCAGUGGGGAAUUGUUCGCAAUGGGCGCAAGCCUGACGACGCAACGCCGCGUGGAGGACGAAGAUCUUCGGGUCGUAAACUCCUGUCGAGCGGGAAGAACACCUUCCGGGUGAAUAUCCAGGAGGGCUGACGGUACCGCUAAAGGAAGCCCCGGCUAACUCCGUGCCAGCAGCCGCGGUAAUACGGGGGGGGCAAGCGUUG
rnacentral:rRNA from 1 species